GUAGAAUUAGCAAGCCUUUUCUGUGAGUCUCAAGUGGCAAUGCUUGUUCUAAUUAACUGUUUUACAAUCCUCUUUAGUAAAUUAUAUGUAAUAUCUCGUGUCUAUUGGUUGGGGGUUUUUUGUGUAAUUUUUAAGGGACAAUCCUCUAUUGUGGACAGCGCAUAUCUCCCUAAGCAAUCUGCAAUAAUACUUGAAGUGAGCUAUGAGUAAUGACAAGAGUCUACAGGCUGACUAGGCGAUAUUUAUAUAUACCUUCCUCUCUGGAUUUGUGUUUUUAAAACUUUGUCUGAUUUUAGUCUACCUAGACACUAACAAUUGGUGAGUAGAAAUUUGCCCAGCUUUCCGACCUGCAGGGAUUAAAGUGUACUUCAAGCACAUGCUUGAAAGAUGCUGGACAUGUUAACAUUGUCAAUGCAGAGAAUAAGCAGUUUUAAAAUGCUCUGUGUUUUAAACCGGUAUAUUUGAGGUGUGUGGUCUGUGUUGUGUUUUUUUUUUUUUUUUUGGGGUUGGGUUUUUUUACCUCUCCAAUGCUUACAAUACUUAAGUUACUAACCUGUAAUUCAUAAAUGAACUUCCAGUCAAUAUUAUGGUGCAAAAUGAUUACUAUUGAGGAAAGUGUAUAUAAUAUAUCUUGUGUGUUUGGUUUUUAUUGUUUUCUUUUUUAAAUGUAAUAUUACCAGGACAAUGUGGUGCUAGGAUGUAUUAUUGCACUUGAAUUUUGCUUUAUUCUAGUUACAAUACAUUGUGUUUGAUAGCAGAACACCAUUCUUUGUCCAUAUCAUAAUUUAUAUAAAUACUAACUUUUUAUUUCCUCCAAAUGCCUGUUUCUCCACUCCAGCAACAUACACCAUUUUAAAGGCAUUUAAUGCAUUGUGUGUACUGUUCAGUGCUCAGGUAUUCUAGCAAGUACUGUAGUGCGGUGAAGGCAAUGAGUG